rnacentral:rRNA from 1 species
AAAUUGAAGAGUUUGAUCAUGGCUCAGAUUGAACGCUGGCGGCAGGCCUAACACAUGCAAGUCGAACGGUAACAGGAAGCAGCUUGCUGCUUUGCUGACGAGUGGCGGACGGGUGAGUAAUGUCUGGGAAACUGCCUGAUGGAGGGGGAUAACUACUGGAAACGGUGGCUAAUACCGCAUAACGUCGCAAGGCCAAAGAGGGGGACCUUCGGGCCUCUU